rnacentral:rRNA from 1 species
CCUACGGGAGGCUGCAGUGGGGAAUAUUGGGCAAUGGGCGCAAGCCUGACCCAGCAACGCCGCGUGAAGGAAGAAGGCCCUCUGGUUGUAAACUUCUUUUAACAGGGACGAAGAAAGUGACGGUCCCUGUUGACUAAGCCACGGCUAACUACGUGCCAGCAGCCGCGGUACUACGUAGGUGGCAAGCGUUAGCCGGAUUUACUGGGUGUAAAGGGCGUGUAGGCGGGAGAGCAAGUCAGACGUGAAAUUCCAGGGCUCAACCCUGGAACUGCGUUUGAAACUGUUCUUCUUGAGUGAUGGAGAGGCAGGCGGAAUUCCGUGUGUAGCGGUGAAAUGCGUAGAUAUACGGAGGAACACCAGUGGCGAAGGCGGCCUGCUGGACAUUAACUGACGCUGAGGCGCGAAAGCGUGGGGAGCAAACAGGAGUAGAUACCCGGGUAGUC